GACGAACGCUGGCGGCGUGCUUAACACAUGCAAGUCGAACGGAAAGGCCCUGCUUUUGUGGGGUGCUCGAGUGGCGAACGGGUGAGUAACACGUGAGUAACCUGCCCUUGACUGUGUGAUAACUUCAGGAAACUGGGGCUAAUACCGGAUAGGAUCUCCUGCUGCAUGGUGGGGGUUGGAAAGUUUCGGCGGUUGGGGAUGGACUCGCGGCUUAUCAGCUUGUUGGUGGGGUAGUGGCUUACCAAGGCUUUGACGGGUAGCCGGCCUGAGAGGGUGACCGGUCACAUUGGGACUGAGGUACGGACCAGACUCCUACGGGAGGCAGCAGUGGGGAAUAUUGCACAAUGGGCGGAAGCCUGAUGCAGCAACGCCGCGUGCGGGAUGACGGCCUUCGGGUUGUAAACCGCUUUCGCCUGUGACGAAGCGUGAGUGACGGUAAUGGGUAAAGAAGCACCGGCUAACUACGUG
rnacentral:rRNA from 1 species